rnacentral:rRNA from 1 species
AGAUUGAACGCUGGCGGCAUGCCUAACACAUGCAAGUCGAACGGGAGUAGCAAUACUCUAGUGGCGGACGGGUGAGGAAUACGUAGGAAUUUGCCCUUAAGUGGGGGAUAACCCGGGGAAACCCGGAUUAAUACCGCAUGACCUCGAAAGAGCAAAGUGGGGGAUCGCAAGACCUCACGCUUUUGGAGAAGCCUACGUCGGAUUAGCUAGUUGGUGAGGUAAUGGCUCACCAAGGCGACGAUCCGUAACUGGUCUGAGAGGAUGAUCAGUCACACCGGAACUGAGA